rnacentral:rRNA from 1 species
GACGAACGCUGGCGGCGUGCCUAAUACAUGCAAGUCGAACGAAAAGACGAGGAGCUUGCUCCUCUGACGUUAGCGGCGGAGGGGAGAGUCACAUGUGGAUAACCUACCUAUAAGACUGGGAUAAUUACGGGACACAGGAGCUUAUAACGGAUAAUAUAUUGCACCGCAUUGUUCACUCGUUAAAGACGGUUUUUCUGUCACUAAUAGAUUGAUACGCGCCGCAUUAGCUAGUUGGUAAGGUAAAGGCUUAGCAAGGCAACGAUGCGUAGCCGACCUAAGAGGGUGAUUGCCCACCCGGGCAGUGAGACAGAGCACAGACUCCUACGGGAGGCCGCAGUAGGGAAUCUUACGCAAGGGGGGAGAGCCUGAUAGAGCAACGCGGCGGGAGGGAUGAAGGUCUUCGGAUCGGAAAGCGCUGUUAGUAGGGAAGAACAAAUGUGCAUUUAACCGGGCACGUAUUGACGGUACCGAAUGAAAAAGCCCCGGCUAACUACGUG